CAGCUUUCAGACUCGAUCUGAUUGGGAACAGACGCACUUCGGAGCUGCUUCCCUUUGAAUUCUUCCCAAAUCACCGGAUCUUCGUGGGCGCUCCCGGGCUUCAUUCCCGAUCGCUUGGUGACUCAGCAGGGCCUCUGCAUCGAUCUUCGACUGGCUCUCCGGCCACUCACUGAGGCCUUCAGUCUGUCAUUUCUGUAAUAGGCCUUGGCUUGGGCCUCUAAAGGCUCAUAGGCCUCGCAUCCAGGCCUUGUCCACGUGGGGUUUGAGGCCUAACUAUCGGUUAGGCCUUUCAAGAUGGCCGCCGUUCCUCCAGUCCGGCCUAGUAAAAGGAAGCAACAUCAGACCAGUCCAAGCCCAGGGCCUAGUGCUUCGAGCUCUCAUGCACCCACAAGGUCAGAGACACUUCAAUCCUCCAUUUCUAAGCCCCAAAAGGCUAUUUCUAAGACUUCUGAAAAGAAGGCCCUACAACGCCAGAAGGCUAUGGAUAGGGCCAUUGCUAGGGCAGUGAGGGAAUCUGCUGAUACUAUACAGGAACAGCAAUCCACCUCCUUACCAGUUCAGCCUCCUGUGCAGUCUCCUGGGGCUCCAUUAACUUUAUCUCCUGAUAUAUCUGUAGACUCA